AGUGAACGCUGGCGGUAGGCCUAACACAUGCAAGUCGAACGGCAGCACAGGAGAGCUUGCUCUCUGGGUGGCGAGUGGCGGACGGGUGAGGAAUGCAUCGGAAUCUACUCUUUCGUGGGGGAUAACGUAGGGAAACUUACGCUAAUACCGCAUACGACCUACGGGUGAAAGCCGGGGACCUUCGGGCCUGGCGCGAAAGAAUGACCGAUGCCCGAUUAGCUAGUUGGCGGGGUAAGAGCCCACCAAGGCGACGAUCGGUAGCUGGUCUGAGAGGAUGAUCAGCCACACUGGAACUGAGACACGGUCCAGACUCCUACGGGAGGCAGCAGUGGGGAAUAUUGGACAAUGGGCGCAAGCCUGAUCCAGCCAUACCGCGUGGGUGAAGAAGGCCUUCGGGUUGUAAAGCCCUUUUGUUGGGAAAGAAAAGCAGUCGGUUAAUACCCGAUUGUUCUGACGUACCCAAAGAAUAAGCACCGCUAAUUC
rnacentral:rRNA from 1 species